AAGGUCUCCAUGGAAACUCUUUCAAAAACUCUGUCUCGAAUUAAUUUCAGAACAAGUGGUCCUUAUACACCAAAGAGAAGGACACUGAUGUCCAUGGCAAGCCUGCCAAGGAGUCCAACCUCCCAGAGGAGCUGCCAGGCCACCCAGGGCAGCCAGGACACCCGUGAGGGCACCCUGGGAGAAGCCGAUGAAGAAAGGGUCCGAGCGUGCACACACCGAUGCUGUCGAGCCUGCGUGGGUCCAUGGCAGUGCCUCUGUCAAUACAGAGUGGGUUUAAUGGCUGAGAAGACACACCCUCACCUUCUGCCUACCGAUAUGGCGAUAGGGAUGUAGGAGACAAGAUGUGUUGGGGUGGGGUGGGCUUUGGCCGAGUGUUAGGAAAAGCGUUCAAGAUUUCCUGAAGACAGCCAGCCCCAUACAAUGAGACCACCAUUGUGAACCCAUCAGUCUAGCAUCAUAAACUGUCAUGCUAGGUCAUCAUGUCAACCAUUUACUCUCAGGCGGGAUCAUGGCUCACCCACUCGAACCUGUGAACACCAAUAUGUUGAAUAACAAAACAAAAUAAAACGAAAACAUCGGUAGUUUA